rnacentral:rRNA from 1 species
AGCGAACGCUGGCGGCAGGCUUAACACAUGCAAGUCGAGCGGGCGUAGCAAUACGUCAGCGGCAGACGGGUGAGUAACGCGUGGGAACGUACCUUUUGGUUCGGAACAACACAGGGAAACUUGUGCUAAUACCGGAUAAGCCCUUACGGGGAAAGAUUUAUCGCCGAAAGGUCGGCCCGCGUCUGAUUAGCUAGUUGGUGAGGUAACGGCUCACCAAGGCGACGAUCAGUAGCUGGUCUGAGAGGAUGAUCAGCCACAUUGGGACUGAGACACGGCCCAAACUCCUACGGGAGGCAGCAGUGGGGAAUAUUGGACAAUGGGCGCAAGCCUGAUCCAGCCAUGCCGCGUGAGUGAUGAAGGCCCUAGGGUUGUAAAGCUCUUUUGUGCGGGAAGAUAAUGACGGUACCGCAAGAAUAAGCCCCGGCUAACUUCGUGCCAGCAGCCGCGGUAAUC